rnacentral:rRNA from 1 species
AUUGAACGCUGGCGGCAGGCCUAACACAUGCAAGUCGAACGAGUGGCGGACGGGUGAGUAAUGUCUGGGACACUGCCUGAUGGAGGGGGAUCACUACUGGAAACGGUAGCUAAUACCGCAUACCAUCAGAUGUGCCCAGAGGGGAUGAGCUUGUUGGUGGGGUAACGGCUCACCCAGGCGACGAUCCCUAGCUGGUCUGAGAGGAUGACCGGCCACACGGGAUGUGAGGCACGGUCCAGACUCCUACGGGAGGCAGCAGUGGGGAAUAUUGCACAAUGGGCGCAAGCCUGAUGCAGCCAGGCGGGGUGUAUGAAGAAGGCCUGCGGGUUGUAAAGUACUUUCAGCGGGGAGGGGUUACCCGCAGAAGAAGCACCGGCUAACUCCGGGCCAGCAGCGGCGGUAAUUG